rnacentral:rRNA from 1 species
UGGGGAAUAUUGGGCAAUGGGCGAAAGCCUGACCCAGCAACGCCGCGUGAGUGAUGAAGGCCUUCGGGUUGUAAAACUCUUUGGACAGGGACGGAGAAAGUGACGGUACCUGUAGAACAAGCCACGGCUAACUACGUGCCAGCAGCCGCGGUAAUACGUAGGUGGCGAGCGUUAUCCGGAUUUACUGGGCGUAAAGGGCGUGUAGGCGGCUAGAUAAGUGUGAUGUUUAAAUCCAAGGCUUAACCUUGGGGUUCAUUACAAACUGUUUAGCUUGAGUGCUGGAGAGGAUAGUGGAAUUCCUAGUGUAGCGGUAAAAUGCGUAGAUAUUAGGAGGAACACCGGUGGCGAAGGCGGCUAUCUGGACAGUAACUGACGCUGAGGCGCGAAAGCGUGGGGAGCAAACAGG